CCCUCGGCUCAACGUAACGUUACUCUACUAACCCCGUCAGGUCCGGAAGGAAGCAGCGGUCCGUGGCUCGGGACGUGUCGUAGAUGACCGGGGGGUU
rnacentral:SRP_RNA from 1 species